GUGAGUCAUCGAGUCUUUGAACGCACCUUGCGCUCCUUGGUAUUCCGAGGAGCAUGCCUGUUUGAGUGUCAUUAAAUUCUCAACUCCAAGGGUUUCACGACCUUUCGGAGAUUGGACUUGGAUUUGGAGCGUGCUGGCGUCGGUCGGCUCCUCUUAAAUGCAUCAGCGGAAUCUAACGUUCCGGACGUCAGUGUGAUAAUCACGUUGCGCUGUCUUUCGGUCCGAAAAGCCCGCUCACAUGGUCUUCGGACAACUUCAUAUCAAAUUUGACCUCAAAUCAGGUAGGACUACCCGCUGAACUUAAGCAUAUCAAUAAGCGGAGG
rnacentral:rRNA from 1 species